UCAAGGUGAGAGAUACGGAGGUAGAGCACUGAAUGUCCUAGGGGGUAUUGCACCUACCGAAGACUAUCAAACUCCGAAUGCCGUCAUCUUAUACUUGGGAGUCAGACUGUGGGUGAUAAGAUUCAUAGUCGAAAGGGCAACAGCCCAGAUCGUCAGCUAAGGUCCCUAAAUGUAAGUUAAGUGGUAAAGGAUGUGGGAUUGCACAGACAACCAGGAUGUUGGCUUAGAAGCAGCCACUCAUUCAAAGAGUGCGUAAUAGCUCACUGGUCGAGUGAUCCUGCGCCGAAGAUUUCCGGGGCUAAAACUUACUACCGAAGCUACGGCAUCAGUAAUGAUGGGUAGGGGAGCUUCCCAUACGGGUUGAAGCAUGACCGUAAGGACAUGUGGACAGUAUGGGAGUGAGAAUGUUGGCAUGAGUAGCGAGAUGUGGGUGAGAAUCCCACAGGCCGUAAACCCAAGGUUUCCAGGGGAAGGUUCGUCCGCCCUGGGUUAGUCGGGACCUAAGCUGAGGCCGAAAGGCGUAGGUGAUGGACAACAGGUUGAUAUUCCUGUACUACCGAUAACCGUUUGAGAGAAGGGAUGACACAGUAGGAUAAGCUAAGCACACUGUUGGUUAUGUGUGCCCAAGCAUUGAGGCAGUCAAAGUAGGCAAAUCCGCUUUGAUAAUGCUGGGAUGUGAUGGGGAGCGAAAUUUAGUAGCGAAGUAGCUGAUUUCACACUGUCAAGAAAAGUCUCUAUCGAGGUUAAAGGUACCCGUACCGCAAACCGACACAGGUGGGUGAGGAGAGUAUCCUAAGGCCAGCGAGAGAACUGUUGUUAAGGAACUCGGCAAAAUGACCCCGUAACUUAGGGAUAAGGGGUGCCACCAUCAGGUGGCCGCAGAGAAUAGGCCCAAGCGACUGUUUACCAAAAACAUAGGUUUCUGCUAAGUCGCAAGACGAUGUAUAGGAGCUGACGCCUGCCCGGUGCUGGAAGGUUAAGGGGAUCUGUUAGAGCAAUCGAAGCAGUGAACUUAAGCCCCAGUAAACGGCGGCCGUAACUAUAACGGUCCUAAGGUAGCGAAAUUCCUUGUCGGGUAAGUUCCGACCCGCACGAAAGGCGUAACGAUUUGGGCACUGUCUCAACAACAGACUCGGUGAAAUUGUAAUUCCGGUGAAGAUGCCGGAUACCUGCGACAGGACGGAAAGACCCCAUGGAGCUUUACUGUAGCUUGACAUUGGGUCUUGGUACUACAUGUACAGGAUAGGUGGGAGGCUUUGAAACCAGGACGCCAGUUUUGGCGGAGCCAUCCUUGGGAUACCACCCUUGUAGUACUGGGACUCUAACCAUAGGCCAUGAAUCUGGUCUUGGGACACUGUCAGGUGGGCAGUUUGACUGGGGCGGUCGCCUCCCAAAAGGUAACGGAGGCGCUCAAAGGUUCUCUCAGUACGGUCGGAAAUCGUACGUAGAGUGUAAAGGCAAAAGAGAGCUUGAUUGCAAGACAUACAGGUCGAGCAAGGAUGAAAAUCGGACUUAGUGAUCCGGUGGUUCUGCGUGGAAGGGCCAUCGCUCAACGGAUAAAAGCUACCCUGGGGAUAACAGGCUUAUCUCCCCCAAGAGUCCACAUCGACGGGGAGGUUUGGCACCUCGAUGUCGGCUCAUCACAUCCUGGGGCUGUAGUAGGUCCCAAGGGUUGGGCUGUUCGCCCAUUAAAGUGGUACGCGAGCUGGGUUCAGAACGUCGUGAGACAGUUCGGUCCCUAUCCGUCGCAGGCGUAGGAAAUUUGAGAAGACCUGUCCUUAGUACGAGAGGACCGGGAUGGACGUACCUCUGGUGUACCAGUUGUCCUGCCAAGGGCAUGGCUGGGUAGCUAUGUACGGAAUGGAUAAGCGCUGAAAGCAUCUAAGCGCGAAGCCAACUUCAAGAUAAGAUUUCCCACCGCAAGGGUAAGACCCCAGAAAGACUAUCUGGUUGAUAGGUCGAAGGUGUAAGUGCAGCAAUGUAUUUAGCUUAUCGAUACUAAUAGGUCGAGGACUUGACCAA
rnacentral:rRNA from 1 species